CUUCAGACCUGCCCCCCAGCCGGGCUUGCUCGCUGCCUCCGGUGUCCCCGCGGGACUAAACCCUACUGGCUACCUUCCCUUGCCGGCCACCAUCUGCGUGACAGUGGAGCCCUCUCGGCUUCCUCCCAGGAGGGUGGAGACUCUACAUUUUUGAUCCUUCCAGUCAACAAGGAAAGUAAUCAAGGAGUAGAAGAAUGUCAGUGAGUGGGACCUCCAGGGAGUCAGGUUCCUUCGACAAGCCCUGGGAUCAUCUUUGCAAUAUGAGAAGCAAGCACACCUCAAGACUGAAGAGGAAAAUCAAGCCUCAGUAGGAGGAAAAGGGGCGUUUAUUUUCCAUUUGUAGCCCUUGAAUCGAUUGUAAAGACAGACUGAAUC